rnacentral:rRNA from 1 species
UACGUAGGGUGCAAGCGUUGUCCGGAAUUAUUGGGCGUAAAGAGCUCGUAGGCGGUCUGUCGCGUCGGCUGUGAAAACCCGAGGCUUAACCUCGGGCUGGCGGUGGAUACGGGCAGACUAGAGGUAGGUAGGGGAGAAUGGAAUUCCUGGUGUAGCGGUGAAAUGCGCAGAUAUCAGGAGGAACACCGGUGGCGAAGGCGGGUCUCUGGGCCGAUACUGACGCUGAGGAGCGAAAGCGUGGGGAGCGAACAGG